CCGGGACCCGCGACCCGCCCCAGGCCUCGGAGCGCGGAGGUGGCAGAGGAAGGGAAAGGCCAAUGUAGGGGCGGGGGCCCUGAGCCAAAGACCCGGGAGAAACCGAUCUGGGUGCAAGAGCCGGUGCGACUUUCACGGCUUGUGGGAAGUUUGUGGGCUAGAAAGAUCUAGUCAAGAGGACUCUCUCCCUCUGUACAAAGUGUUCUCUAACUCAUGUACCGGUCAUCACGGUAGUGUCUGCCUCAAACACCUGGGACCUACCUUAGUGUGGGAGGUGAUUCUCCCUGCAGGUAACCUAAUUUGUUGCUGCAUUCAUGGAGAACAAACCACUGCUUAUCUAUGGGAAGCAUUUUAAGCAUGCAGACCUCUCAAAGAAAACAAAAACAAAAACAAAAACAAAAAAGACCGUGGAUGUUUAAACAAGAAGCCUUCCAGAAGUCAUGUAAAGGAGGAAGUACCUAGCCCAGGAUCUGUCACAUAACAAGUAGUUACAAAUAUUUGCAGAAU
rnacentral:lncRNA from 10 species